UCCGGCUUAUCACCGGCGGUUUCUUUAGAGUGCCCAACUGAAUGGUAGCAACUAAAGACGAGGGUUGCGCUCGUUGCGGGACUUAACCCAACAUCUCACGACACGAGCUGACGACAGCCAUGCAGCACCUGUCACCGGUCCAGCCGAACUGAAGGGAUCCAUCUCUGGAUCCCGCGACCGGGAUGUCAAACGCUGGUAAGGUUCUGCGCGUUGCUUCGAAUUAAACCACAUGCUCCGCUGCUUGUGCGGGCCCCCGUCAGUUGCCAUCGGUUCGGCCGGGCACUCUAGGGGAACUGCCGGUGCCAAACC
rnacentral:misc_RNA from 1 species